UACGGAAGGCAGCAGUGGGGAAUAUUGCACAAUGGGCGAAAGCCUGAUGCAGCUAUGCCGCGUGUAUGAAGAAGGCCUUAGGGUUGUAAAGUACUUUCAUCGGGGAGGAAAAAACAAAACUAAUAAUUUUAUUUCUUGACGUUACCCGAAAAAGAAGCACCGGCUAACUCCGUGCCAGCAGCCGCGGUAAUACGGAGGGUGCUAGCGUUAAUCAGAAUUACUGGGCGUAAAGAGCACGUAGGUGGUUUUUUUAAAGUCAGAUGUGAAUCCCUGGGCUUAACCUAGGAACUGCAUUUUGAAACUGAAAUACUAGAGUAUCGUAGAGGGAGGUAGAAUUCUAGGUGUAGCGGUGAAAUGCGUAGAUAUCUGGAGGAAUACCUGUGGCGAAAGCGGCCUCCUAAACGAAUACUGACACUGAGGUGCGAAAGCGUGGGGAGCGAAACAGGGAUUAGAUACCCGU
rnacentral:rRNA from 1 species